CUUCAUGUCGAACGCACCUUGUGUAUGUGGUUCUGCUGCAGUGACGGGUAGUGUCAGGUGGCAGCUGCCCCUGACACGGUUUUGCUUUACUCGACCUACGAGAGGCUGAGAAGAAAACAAGAUUUUUUUUUGUAUGAUUGCACAUCCCGUUUGAAGUCCUUAAACAUGACAACCAGAACUGCAAUUUCAGAACUAACAUUUAUGGUACAUUUGCUUCGCACAGAAGCCGAAAACAUACUCCUCACUCAUUGCAUGACUUCAAGGCAGACAUAAUAAAAAGGUAUGUAUGUUCAUUCAAUGCAGAUCAACACAGUGAUGUGGAAGGUCAAAGUGGGGAUCUGUCUGAUGAAGGUCAAGAUGACAAUAAUGAUGCGACAGACCUGCCAAACUGCAUAGAAAAAAAAUAGCUUUGUUGUUUCUAAAACUGGAGAGCACUUUUAAUGUAUCUUACAGGUGUAUAGAAGAGGUUGUUAAAGAGUUAAAUUUUGUAUCUCGAUCAGCAUCUGGACCCAUCAUCAAAGGUAUUUUACAGUCCUGCUUGGGUUGUAAAGCCCAUCUUACAGUCCACAAAUCUGUCUAAUGUAAACCUUUUGCAUGAAGUAACAAAAAUAAACAAUUUUCAAGUUGUUGCAGAUAAAAUGGGCAAGAAAUAAGGGAUAUCUUGGAGCGCUGGCCUGCAUUAUCAGAUGCAACACAGAUAAAUGAAGAAUUCAAGAGGAUAACCACUGUAGGUCUUGAAUCUACAUUUAUGGCCAAACUUGACAAAUGCACCCCAAAACUAAUGGACCUGGCCUCAUCAAGGGGAGGAGCUAAAGGGGAAAGAAUCAGAAGGAUUAAGGAUAUGCUUCUUGAGAACAAUGAAGUUGAAGUAUGGAGAGAAGUAGCCAUUCACUGUCUUGUUGUCUGUCUUGGAGAGAAAGAAGAGGAUCUUUUCAAGGAGUUUGCUAAUACACAAGAAAUUGAGGCAGACCUUGAAAAGCAAGUGAUGAAAAUUGCCAUCAUUGGUGAUCUGUCAACUAUGGAAUUAAACCACAAGACGGGAACCAUCAUUGUUGAGGGAAUCAGAAUCCUGAUUGGAAUGGAUAUCUCAAGGUGUUGUGCUCUGCUAACGGGCAUAAUAUAUGCUCUGAAUCUGAGCUACCCCAAGGAGCUUAAAUAUACUUGUUAAGUGUUUCAGAAGCUGUUUCUUGAACUUGAUGGACUGAAUCCCAGUGCAAAAGUAAUGCGUCUCAAGAACAGCAUUUUCUGAAGCCUCUACUUAUUUCAAAGUACAUUUUGCUCUUUAUGUUGCAACUAUAUUGUUUUGUAUUUUGAAGUCCACAUGCUGAUCUUUUUAUUUCAUACUGUUUAUAUGAAUGGUGGCAUUUAUAUAUGUUUGUUUAUAAUAAUACAAAUGUUACAUAUUUUACAAUUAAGGUUAACUAAUAACAAGUAGUUUGUAAAAUAUUCAAUUUAUAAGUUAAUAGUUAGCUUUCAGUGUAUCAAUGCCUAUAACUCUUGUUUUGAUGGAAUUCAUUGUGAUGGCAUAGCUAUGCAUGCAUGCACAUUUUUGAAGGCAAAGCUGACGGGUCAGUUUGUUUAUAAUUUGUGAGACAGUACACAUUUGGGUUUUGUAAACAUUGAGAAGUGCAAUAUUUAAAAUAAAACACUGAAAACUGUG